rnacentral:rRNA from 1 species
UCAAUUGGGUAACCUUGAGAUCGUAUAGUGGCGAAAGGGUGCGGAAUAGAUAGAUAACGUACUUUGGGCUUUGGAAUAGCGUUCCGAAAGGAACGGUAAUACCAGAUAAUAUCAGCAAUUUAAUGUUGUUGAUCAAAGAUUUAUCGGCCUGAAAGCGGUCUAUCGCCUAUCAGCUAGUUGGUGAGGUAAUGGCUCACCAAGGCGACGACGGGUAGCGGGACUGAGAGGUUGACCCGCCACAUCGGGACUGAGACACUGCCCGGACCUCCACGGAGGGCUGCAGUAACGAAUAUUGGGCAAUGGGCGAAAGCCUGACCCAGCGAUGCCGCGUAUAGGAUGAAGUUCUUCGGAAUGUAAACUAUUGUCAGGGGCUAGAAAGCCGUAAGGUUGAUCAGCCCCGGAGGAAGUCACGACUAACUUCGUGCCAGCAGUCGCGGUAAUACGAAGGUGACAAGCGUUAUUCGAAAUCACUGGGCUUAAAGGGUGCGUAGGCGGAAACAUAAGUGUCUUGUGAAAACCCCCGGCUUAACCGGGGAAUUGCUCGGCAUACUGUGUUUCUUGAGGCAAGCAGGGGUGUGUGGAACUCUUGGUGGAGCGGUGGAAUGCGUAGAUAUCA